rnacentral:rRNA from 1 species
CUUCCGCCGGCGACCGGCGCACGGGUGAGUAACACGUAUGCGACCUGCCCCCGCAGGGGGAUAACCGGGAGAAAUCCCGACUAAUACCGCGUAACGCCGCGGACCUGCAUGGGUCUGCGGCCAAAGGAAGCGAUUCCGGCGGGGGAUGGGCAUGCGGCGCAUUAGCUAGUCGGCGGGGUAACGGCCCACCGAGGCGACGAUGCGUAGGGGUUCUGAGAGGAAGGUCCCCCACACUGGUACUGAGACACGGACCAGACUCCUACGGAAGGCAGCAG